UGCAAACGGAGCUCUCUUCAGCUGCUGAUGGCCGGGACAGCAGGACUCACUGUGGAUCUUUAUUUCUUCAGGACUUUUUCUUAAUGUAGAUUCAGCAGGAUUUUAUAAACAUUCUGGAUCAUUCUGCAUUUCUCCUCUUCUCACAGUCUCUCGUGAUCCAGACGGGCAGGUAAAGUUUCAUUCUGAUGUCAAAAGUGCUUCAGCAUGUUCUCAAGAACACACAACAUCACUGAGACACCAGCAGCAGAAGACCUGAUCAUCAUCAUCAUCAUCUUCAUCAUCACAGACUCCAUCACUCAGAAUACAGUCUCUUCAGCUCCAGGACUGUUUUCAGACUCAUCUGAUCACAAACUAACAGACCAAUGAACCGUUUCUUUCUCAGAUCUGUAUCUGAGAACCGUUUUAUUGAUCUGGAGCUGCACUUUAUGUGAUCAUUUUCACAUCUGCAUCACACAGAGCUUCUUUUUUUCCUUUGACAAAAUAUGAGUUUCAGUUUGUGCUGCCUCAUAUUUCAUGCAUUUUUUAUUUACUAUUUGUGUUUUUGUAUUUCUGUAUAUUGUGAUUAAUUUAAGAGAUUCUAUCCACCUUAUUUAAUUUUAACAGAAAUGCAGGUGUGACUGUUUGUUAUUAAAUGUAAAUAGCCAGUAUCUGGCUUCCGCUGUUGUACAGUUCCAGUUAUUUUUAGCUCGUUUUGCUGCCUGACAUUGCAAAAACCAGUACUGUAUUGCAGAGAUUCUCAACUCUGGCCCUCGGGAUCCACUUUCCUGCAGAGUUGAGCUCCAACCCUGAUCAAACUCACCUGCCUGUGACUUUCUAGAGAUCCUGGAGACCUUGAUGAACCUGUUCAGGUGUGUUCAAUGAGGGCUGGAGCUCAACUCUGCAGGAAGUGCACCUCGAGGGUCAGCGUUCAGAAACAACUGCUGUAUUGCUUGCCAUGUUAUUUUAAUGUAUUGUCAUAAUUAUAAAACACCGGUCUGUAGUGUGAAUAUCUUUACCGUUUACAGCACUCUAAUCAUAUUUAUUUCCAUAUAGAAGCUAAUGAAAAUAAAGAAUUGCACAUUCACAGAAAAUUGCUUAAUUCCGUGUUGCAAAAUAAUGUGGAUAUAUCUCUGUCUAUUUUCGUACCCCUCCAUACUGUUUACUGUACAUGCAUUCAUUACUCAUCUUUUCAGUCUAUUCUAAAAGAAUGCAGCAACUAUUUUGUUUGUACGACUGAGUUAUGCAAAACUAAUCUGCAUAAUUUUUAUCCAUUCUCAAACCACUUGUCAUGUGUGAGUUCAUGGUGGUGCUGGAGCUUACAACAGAACCUCGAAGGAUUGAGACAAUCUGAACAGACAGCGCUCCAUUACAGGACUCAUGCACUCACAGAGAUAUACGCAUAUUCAUGCCAUUCAUUUUUAUAUAAUACACUGUGAAAGAGCAUUUCUGUCAUUUAUGGCUCAGAUGACUGGCCUUAAUUAAUUGUAAUAUAUAUAUGCUGAAAUAACAUUAUUUGACAUCAUAUUUGCACGUUGCUUGUAUGUAAAGGUGCUGUAUAGUGUUACAUGUACAGUUCUAAGUGUUUACAGUACCAGUUUUGUAUUGCUGUAAUAGUCUUUUCUGUAUUGCAAUGUCACUGUACUGUAAUUUGCUGACAGACUUACAGUAACAGUGUAACUGUGAAUCCUGUCCAGUCUCUUGCUAUCAGUAUCUGACCUACUGUACUUUGCACUGAUGAAACUGACUUACCAUGAAGACAGCUUCCAGCCUCGUGUAUUUCAAUUAUUGUCAUCAAAACCACAGCCAGAGUUUACAUCAGAAAACACUGACAGACACUGUUAUACUGACAACACGGCUGAACAUGUUAAUAUCUUGAUUGAGAUCAGUGACACAAGUAUUCAUUCUGAUGCCACUGAUAUGACAUUAAUACUUUUGAAAAAUGAGCUGAUGAAAGAUGUUGAUGUUAUAAGCUUUUCCAGACUUUUCCAGAGGUGCUGUUUGUACAGACUGUUUAGUGCAACACACUAUCUGAUUCACGAAUAUUAAGGAUGUUUUGAGAAAUCAAAUCAACUAAUAAAAUCUGUAAACUUUCUUUACAGUCUCUCUUGAUGC
ensembl:lncRNA